UGUUUCGGCUAGGGGGUCAUCCCGACUUACCAACCCGAUGCAAACUACGAAUACCGAAGAAUGUUAUCACGGGAGACACACGGCGGGUGCUAACGUCCGUCGUGAAGAGGGAAACAACCCAGACCGCCAGCUAAGGUCCCAAAGUCAUGGUUAAGUGGGAAACGAUGUGGGAAGGCACAGACAGCCAGGAUGUUGGCUUAGAAGCAGCCAUCAUUUAAAGAAAGCGUAAUAGCUCACUGGUCGAGUCGGCCUGCGCGGAAGAUGUAACGGGGCUAAACCAUGCACCGAAGCUGCGGCAGCGACACUAUGUGUUGUUGGGUAGGGGAGCGUUCUGUAAGCCUGCGAAGGUGUGCUGUGAGGCAUGCUGGAGGUAUCAGAAGUGCGAAUGCUGACAUAAGUAACGAUAAAGCGGGUGAAAAGCCCGCUCGCCGGAAGACCAAGGGUUCCUGUCCAACGUUAAUCGGGGCAGGGUGAGUCGACCCCUAAGGCGAGGCCGAAAGGCGUAGUCGAUGGGAAACAGGUUAAUAUUCCUGUACUUGGUGUUACUGCGAAGGGGGGACGGAGAAGGCUAUGUUAGCCGGGCGACGGUUGUCCCGGUUUAAGCAUGUAGGCUGGU
rnacentral:rRNA from 1 species